rnacentral:rRNA from 1 species
GACGAACGCUGGCGGCGUGCUUAACACAUGCAAGUCGAACGGAAAGGCCCUGCUUUUGUGGGGUGCUCGAGUGGCGAACGGGUGAGUAACACGUGAGCAACCUGCCCUUGACUUUGGGAUAACUUCAGGAAACUGGGGCUAAUACCGGAUAGGAGCUCCUGCUGCAUGGUGGGGGUUGGAAAGUUUCGGCGGUUGGGGAUGGACUCGCGGGUUAUCAGCUUGUUGGUGGGGUAGUGGCUUACCAAAGCUUUGACGGGUAGCCGGCCUGAGAGGGUGACCGGCCACAUUGGGACUGAGAUACGGCCCAGACUCCUACGGGAGGCAGCAGUGGGGAGUAUUGCACAGUGGGCGGAAGCCUGAUGCAGCGACGCCGCGUGCGGGAUGACGGCCUUCGGGUUGUAAACCGCUUUCGCCUGUGACGAAGCGUGAGUGGCGGUAAUGGGUAAAGAAGCACCGGCUAACUACGUG